rnacentral:lncRNA from 1 species
UUGUACUCUGUACAGGAACAAGCUCACACUGUACAGUUUGGCUUUCAAGAUGCUUGACAGGUUUAGCCCUAACCUGCCUUUAUGUCUUAGCUACAAGCUACCUUUUAUGUUAACGUACUAAAUCAAGUAACUCCAGCCAAACUAAACUACCUAUCCUUAAAUGUUUUUAUUCUUUUCCUUUAAACAUCUUCUCAUGUAACUGUUCCUGAUAGCCUCUUUUCUCUAUCAAAAAUUCAAGCAAAGAUUAUUUUUAAUUACAUGUAUGUGUAAUUAUGUAAAUGCAUUCUCUCUUAUUUAUACUAUUUACUGUUCUUCAGGACCUGACUUAGGUCCCCCUUUUCUUCCCAGGCCACUUUGGUUUACAGU